rfam:Aedes albopictus isolate Foshan contig66788, whole genome shotgun sequence.
AAAACAGCCCUUUUAAGGGCUACCAUUGAUAUCCAAGUAAAGAGUU